GGAUGUAAGGGCAAUCUGGCUGUGACUUUUGUCAUCCCAUUGAUCAUUAAUGUUGAUGCGGCUGAUCUGGCUGGUCAGGCCCAGGUUGCCUUCCUCCCUCAGCACUCCAUGUGCCUUCUUCCUGAAGUUAUAUGCUCAAGGGGGUGGUGGGAAGCGGGUGACCUUUCCUGAUAGAGGAGGACCAGGGAGCUGAUCUUCUAUCAAGGGUAUAGGAGUAGCUGUACUCCCCUGCUUGAACCUCCAAACAGGCUCUCAAGGUCCAUUUGGAGGAGAAUGUAGGGUAGUCAAGCUUCCAAGUCUCCAGACACAUCCAAAUGAGGUGCUGCAUGUAACAGCGUGUCUUUCUUG
ensembl:misc_RNA 7SK 7SK RNA